rnacentral:misc_RNA from 1 species
AAAGGUAUUGUCGAGUUCAAUAGAUAAUUCUAUCGACUCGACAUCCUGAUCAACCCUUAUGUGCACUUUAUUUAUGCUUUGGUCGGUCGAAAGACUUACCAAAAUUUUAUCUUACUGCCUUAUUUUUGUCUGAAGAAAUGAAAUAUAAUUUGAAAUA